AGACAAUGUGUUAGUAAUCAAAGCAGUUGGUUAUAUGGUUAAUAUUUUACAAGUAUAUUUUACAUAGAGCUUUAGAAUUGGAUCACUUUAAUGCCAAAUUGCCGGUACUGUGGCCUGUUUGUUAUAAAACUACCAUAUUUAAUCAAACAUUUAUUUGAGGGUUUCAGGACUUCUCUGUCAUUGGUGGGCUAACAUUGUAUAUUUAAAAAUGAUUUAAUAUUUAGUCUUAUCGAUCCACUAUAAUUUUAAAAUUACAGCACACUAACUGUGAAUCAAUUCUAAACAAACUCACCUGGUUAACCUAGUCAUACAUACAUACAUAAAUACACACACACACACACGUGUCAUAUUAUGUGUGUUCAUUUACAACAGCUUUAAAACCAUUAAAACCGGCCUGGUCUGCUUCGACAAAACACACCUCAACAACAAAUAAAAUCAGAGUAACUGAAACCACACAAUUUACCUCAUGACACACAUGAUACCUGAACGAUUCGUGGCAGCAUGAUAUAAGAGGACAUAGGUAUUCUAUUACCAGAACCCUAAUGGUCCUUCAGGUAUUCUAGAACCCUGAUUUCUGUACUUCAGGUAUUCUAGAACCCUGAUGAUCCCUGCUUUAGGUAUUCAAAAAAUCCUCAAUAUAUAUCGGAACUUAAACCUCAUGCUGAUGCAACAUCGCCUUGCCAUUUCCAACUACCUCCAAUUUCCACCAAAACAACCUGCAAACUUAAUUCUUAAAGAAUGCACACUGCCCAGGUAGACAGUAGUACAGGACUACUACACACAACAAUGCGUAAGUGUGUGUGUGUGUGUGUGUGUGUGUCAGUGUGCUAGCAUACAAUGUCAUUAUACCUUUUCAUAACAGUUGUCUUCUUACCAUGGAACCGUUCUUUGUUGUGUAAGUCUGCCAAGUCAUUUACUGAAACCAGUGCUCUGUAUUUUUAUUUCAUAAGCAGCUAUGGAAAUAAAUAGUUUAGUCUUUAUUUUCACAUAAACUUUGGUGUUGUGUUUCCAACUAGGUGGCACCAAGACAUUUACAUUUCAUUAUCUGCAACUGGG
ensembl:lncRNA